AGAUGAUCCCGAGAUCCUCUUCACCGUGGGUGCCCAUCCAUGGUGUGGACAUUUGUAAUGCUGCACGUCCAACUGAAGUAGGAGACAUUUGUAAUGCUGCACAUUCAACUGAAAAGUACUCCCUUUGUAAUUUUUUAUAAGAUCGUUUAGAUCAAUCAUUAAAGUAGUGAUCUUAUAAAAGUCUACAUAGGGAGUAGGAGCAAUUAGCAGAGAUCAUGCCAAACCGACAUAAUUACAAGCGAGUCUUGUCCUAUUUGAAUCACCCUCUAAUUUUCAUGAGAAUUGUUUUUCUUGGUA
rnacentral:lncRNA from 1 species